rnacentral:rRNA from 1 species
UACGUAGGGCGCAAGCGUUGUCCGGAAUUAUUGGGCGUAAAGAGCUCGUAGGCGGCCUGUCGCGUCCGCUGUGAAAUCCCAGGGCUUAACCCUGGGCGUGCAGUGGAUACGGGCUGGCUGGAGGCAGGCAGGGGAGAACGGAAUUCCCGGUGUAGCGGUGAAAUGCGCAGAUAUCGGGAGGAACACCGGUGGCGAAGGCGGGUCUCUGGUACGUGACUGACGCUGAGACGCGAAAGCGUGGGGAGCGAACAGG